GGGUCUCAAUGUGUCCCUAUGGGUCUCUAUGUGUCCCUAUGUCUCUCUCUGUGUCCCUAUGCGUCUCUAUGGGUCUCAAUGUCUCCCUAUGUCUCUCUAUGUGUCCCUAUGGGUCUCAAUGUCUCUCUAUGUCUCUCUAUGUGUCCCUAUGGGUCUCACUGUGUCCCUAUGUCUCUCAAUGUGUCCCUAUGGGUCUCAGUGUGUCCCUAUGUGUCCCUAUGGG
rnacentral:lncRNA from 1 species